AUGCAAUAUAAAUCACAGGAGGCCCAGAAGAAGGUGUCAAGGUUCCUAGUGAAGCUGAGGCUGAAGAGUCCUUCUUGGAGCUCUGAUGACAGGUCCAGUUCGGAGUCAGAGCGAGCUAACGCUGAAGUCCGCCAGGGGAAGUCCGCUACAUCCCCAGAUAACAUUGACAGUGGCAGGAAGAAGAUAAAGUUCCCACUCCUCUUCACCAAGACAGCCGUGGCUGUGACCACCACCAACCCACUUCUCACUCAGAAUGACCGGCCCAGCGUGAAGCUUUCUGCCAAAGCAGAAAAGGCCCAUAAGACAGUGAUGGUGGCCAGUAUCCCAGAGGAGAUUGGUGUUGGAGCUAAGGUCAUGCAGAAAAACUUACCGGCCAAACCGAAGUACAGCUGGUCACGGCCCAGUCGAAGUGGAAAAGAUGACAAAGUCCAGGGCAAAGUCAAAGACUUCUACAAGACCAAAGUAGGUAAACAGAAAGAAGAUAACAUCCCGCCAAUAGCCAAAGAACCCCGGAUAAAAGGGUCCUUCCAUGGAGCAGAGCAAGGCAGAGGCAGGGACUAUGGCAGGAGGAGGGCGCCCCUCUCCUACGACAUCCAGUGCAGACUCAACCAAGCCAUGACAGAUUCAGACAGACUCAAAGCUAGAGAGGUCACCAAGAGAAGCGGAACCAUCCGCUGUGAGAAUCUCCAACAAAGUCCCAACCGACAGAUGUCAGAGUUGGAGCGAUUCAAACCCAGGGAUAUCACCAAGAGGAUAAUUCCCUGUGAUGAGCUGCAGCAAAGGCCCAACCAGCCAAUGCCAAAGCCAGAUAAAGCUGCCCUGGUUAAACUCCCGGCGAUUCCACGGCAGAGAUGCCAGACAGCACCAUCAACACAGAGGACCUGGAGGAGUUCCUAAACUCAGUGUCAGUACCUACCCUCUGCUCCAUACUUACCAUUCAUACCUAUUCUGUUCCCCACAACUGUCACUGUUAUUCCCUGACACCUCUAUGUGCUUGUGCCUGUUUGCCUGUAGGGGCAUGACUCGUAUUGAAGACCUGGCAACUACGGUGCCUGACGAUCCCCAGAUCGAUGCCCAGUCUGAUGGUAAGUAGCAUGCAUACUGUUAGCCUGUCUUCUAUUGUCAACUAACACUAGCUACCAAUACAAAACCCUUUUUAAAAAGUAAUUAAUUAAUGAUGAUCUUCUAUUGUACAUGUAUUUUGAAGUGAUGUUCCUAUGUUAUGGGAAACAAUCAAACAAUCAUAUCUAUUGUCUAUUCUACCACAUGUAGCCUUCAAAGAAGUCUUUGAGCAGUUUGCAAAGAACAGCGAUGGCUCUCUCAAUGAGGAGGGCCUGGCGUCCACACUGGACAGAGUGGGGAUCAGUAUCAGCCCAGAGGAGGUGAAGAAAGCCCUACAGAAGGCUGACAGUAUGUUUCUGCCUCAGUAUCUGGAAUUACCCCAAAAUAUAAUAACGUGCUUUCCAUUAUAAACAUGUUAGAACAGAAUACAUAAAAAUUGUUUGUGUCCCAAAUCCCCUGUUCCCUAUAUAGUGCGGGACAUUUGUACCCAUAUAGGGCUCUGGUCAAAAGUAGUGCACUAUAGGUUGCCUUUUGGGGUGCAGUCAUACACAUUCCCUUAUUUGACAUGAGUUGACAGGCUGGCUGACUGGCUGUUUUUGUUUCUUGGCUUCAGAGGACGGAGAGGUGGGGUUUCAAGAUGUCCUGCAUGUGAUGGCGGACAGCCAGCGCUUCUCCAAGUGUGUGAAAGGUGAAGAUCCCCGACUAAGAUGUUGCCGCCCUGUGCAACUGGGUACUGGACUUCCUGACGGGCCGCCCCCAGGUGGUGAGGGUAGGCAACAACAUCUCCUCCCCGCUGAUCCUCAACACUGGGGCCCCACAAGGGUGCGUUCUGAGCCCUCUCCUGUACUCCCUGUUCACCCACGACUGCGUGGCCACGCACGCCUCCAACUCAAUCAUCAAGUUUGCGGACGACACAACAGUGGGGCUUG
ensembl:lncRNA